CCUCUGAAUACCACGUCCCUCCGCUUCCCCACACUGGGGUCCAGGCGGGCCCCCUUUCCUCGCACAACCCAGAAUGUACAGCCUGAUCGACCAGAGAGGGCCAGGGAGAGCUUCGAGUGAAGGGUACUGCUGCAGCCCCGCCACGAAGGCAGAUGGCCCCGUUCCACCCGUGGGAAACCGAGUCAGGGAUUCAAGGACUAGGGUGCCCGUCUGACUUGUGCAACUCUGGGACCGUCCCCUGAGCGCUGUCUGCUGUCCUGCAGUCUGCCGGGGACCGCCGGAUGUGUAUGACCUGAUCCCAGCUUCCAGGAACUUCGGUCCCAGAGAUUACUCUGGACCCGUUUUGUCUUCUUUAAAAAUGGAGGCUAGUUCCGAGAAGUUCCAGAAAGCCGUUUGCAUAGUUCCAACGCUGCAGCUCCUGAAAUGCCCGCCUUUCCCUGGAAGUGGAGUCAGGCCGGAUCCUAGGCAAAGAAAUGAAUUUCUAACCACGCAAGCCCUUUCCCUGUCACAAGAUCUUGGACGACAACCCGGCAGGGAAGCCCGAGGGCUGUUGUCAGGAGCGGCGGCCAAGCCUCGGAAUGACACAAUCGUACCAGAACCCUGAGCAGUCUGAGGAAUUAAAAAAAAAAAAAAAAA